GACGAACGCUGGCGGCGUGCUUAACACAUGCAAGUCGAACGGAAAGGCCCUGCUUUUGUGGGGUGCUCGAGUGGCGAACGGGUGAGUAACACGUGAGUAACCUGCCCUUGACUUUGGGAUAACUUCAGGAAACUGGGGCUAAUACCGGAUAGGAGCUCCUGCUGCAUGGUGGGGGUUGGAAAGUUUCGGCGGUUGGGGAUGGACUUGCGGCUUAUCAGCUUGUUGGUGGGGUAGUGGCUUACCAAGGCUUUGACGGGUAGCCGGCCUGGGAGGGUGACCGGCCACAUUGGGACUAAGAUACGGCCCAGACUCCAACGGGAGGCAGCGGUGGGGAAUAUUGCACAAUGGGCGGAAGCCUGAUGCAGCAACGCCGCGUGCGGGAUGACGGCCUUCGGGUUGUAAACCGCUUUCGCCUGUGACGAAGCGUGAGUGACGGUAAUGGGUAAAGAAGCACCGGCUAACUACGUG
rnacentral:rRNA from 1 species